GACGAACGCUGGCGGCGUGCCUAAUACAUGCAAGUAGAACGCUGAAGGAGGAGCUUGCUCUUCUGGAUGAGUUGCGAACGGGUGAGUAACGCGUAGGUAACCUGCCUGGUAGCGGGGGAUAACUAUUGGAAACGAUAGCUAAUACCGCAUAAUAGUAGAUGUUGCAUGAUAUUUACUUAAAAGGUGCAAUUGCACCACUACCAGAUGGACCUGCGUUGUAUUAGCUAGUUGGUGGGGUAACGGCUCACCAAGGCGACGAUACAUAGCCGACCUGAGAGGGUGAUCGGCCACACUGGGACUGAGACACGGCCCAGACUCCUACGGGAGGCAGCAGUAGGGAAUCUUCGGCAAUGGACGAAGGUCUGACCGAGCAACGCCGCGUGAGUGAAGAAGGUUUUCGGAUCGUAAAGCUCUGUUGUAAGAGAAGAACGAGUGUGAGAGUGGAAAGUUCACACUGUGACGGUAUCUUACCAGAAAGGGACGGCUAACUACGUG
rnacentral:rRNA from 1 species